UGCAUUCUUGGGUUUCCUCUGGGUACUCCGGUUUCCUGCUACAGUCCAAAACCAUGACAAUCAGGUAAGAGU